rnacentral:lncRNA from 12 species
UAGGAAUUAUUUUGAGAAAGGAAUAUCGGCAGGAUCUAUAAAAAGGCAUAACAUUCCUAUUUGUCCCUGAAAGCUCACAGGGUAGAAGGAACAUUCCGUGGCUAUUUCAGAGCACAAAGCGGUGUUUUCCCUACCCGGCUAAAAUGCUUCCAGAUACAGAAUAAGUGAGUAAUCUCCUGCCCAGUGGCCCCAAAGGGCUGCAGGCAGUGGGUCCAGACAGCCUGUGGGGAGCAGCUGGACAGACACCUGCACUCCAUCAAGGAGGCCAGGGGUGCCCAAGAGGAAACCGAGUCCGCCAGCCCUAUCUCAUCUUGUCUUCCAGUCACCUGGUGGGGAAGAUGUCAACGGUGGACAGAGUAAUGAUGUGUCUUGAACUGGGGCCUGGACCUGCUGUCCACAGGUUUGCAGUCUCCGGCUGGAAGAAGGCGGCUCCCUGUCUGGCUUCUUCGAUGUGUCAGCGAGGAGCAGAACCCGGGCACAUUUCUAUAGGUGAGACCAGGAAUCAAAAAAUUCUCUUUCGGGAAUCUGGAUACAUCAUGCGAAAAAGAGGUCCACACGGCACCCUACCAACGUGUUAAUUUACCAAGAAAAACAAUGGGCCUUACUGUGAAGGCCUCCGGACUCUGGUUGUUUGAUUUAUUUGUCUUUGGAACUUUCAACCAAAUGUCUUAAAAUAGACAUGAACUGGAGAGUUUUGCCUCAGACAUGGAAAAGACUCACUUGUUCUCACAUUUCCAUCUUACGAAACGACGCUUUUUAAUCUGCUGCACUGCCUGGCGCUACGUCCCCUGCAUAAAGGGGGUUGGAAAGAGCCCCCACUUGUGAGAACACAGGCCGGUCUCUUCUGAGGGUUCAGCAACGGAGCCCUCCAGGCAGCACACAGCUCCUGGUAAGCCUUUGCUGGGAAUCAGCGUUGGCUUGGGUUGCGGGCAUUGGGCACAGAAGGGUUAAUGGCGAUUGCAGUCAGUGAAACAGCCUGUGUGGUUUGUGUCAUGUCAAUCCCAGGCUGUCCCUGACUUUUUCCCUUUGGUCGGGGUCUUCCCGAGAAAUCAGGCCUCACCAUCAGCAGUGAGCUUGUUAGCUUCUCUGGAAUAGGGUUUCCCUUUCAGUCUUGAAAUUCCUACGCCCUUAGGUCACUUCCCUGCUAACUACGACAAAAAUAAAUAAAUGCAUUCCCCCA